AUUAAACGCUGGCGGCAUGCCUUACACAUGCAAGUCGAACGGCAGCACGGGGGCAACCCUGGUGGCGAGUGGCGGACGGGUGAGUAAAGCAUCGGAACGUAUCCUGGAGUGGGGGAUAACGUAGCGAAAGUUACGCUAAUACCGCAUAUUCUGUGAGCAGGAAAGCAGGGGAUCGCAAGACCUUGCGCUCUGGGAGCGGCCGAUGUCGGAUUAGCUAGUUGGUGGGGUAAAGGCCUACCAAGGCGACGAUCCGUAGCGGGUCUGAGAGGAUGAUCCGCCACACUGGGACUGAGACACGGCCCAGACUCCUACGGGAGGCAGCAGUGGGGAAUUUUGGACAAUGGGCGCAAGCCUGAUCCAGCAAUGCCGCGUGCAGGAAGAAGGCCUUCGGGUUGUAAACU
rnacentral:rRNA from 1 species